rnacentral:misc_RNA from 1 species
UCCGAGUUGACCCCGGCAGUCUCCUGCGAGUCCCCGCCAUUACGCGCUGGCAACACAGGACAAGGGUUGCGCUCGUUGCGGGACUUAACCCAACAUCUCACGACACGAGCUGACGACAGCCAUGCAGCACCUGUGCAGGAGUCCCGAAGGAGGGCCCUGGUUUCUCAGAGCUUUCCCCUGCAUGUCAAGCCUAGGUAAGGUUCUUCGCGUUGCGUCGAAUUAAACCACAUGCUCCACCGCUUGUGCGGGCCCCCGUCAAUUCCUUUGAGUUUCAGCCUUGCGGCCGUACUCCCCAGGCGGGGCACUUCAUGCGUUAGCGCCGGCACCCAGGGGGUCGCUCCCCCAAGCACCUAGUGCCCAUCGUUUACGGCGUGGACUAC